rnacentral:rRNA from 1 species
AGAGUUUGAUCCUGGCUCAGGACGAACGCUGGCGGCGUGCCUAAUACAUGCAAGUCGAACGCUUCUUUUCCCACCGGAGCUUGCUCCACCGGGAAAAGAGGAGUGGCGAACGGGUGAGUAACACGUGGGUAACCUGCCCAUCAGAAGGGGAUAACACUUGGAAACAGGUGCUAAUACCGUAUAAUAAUCGAAACCGCAUGGUUUCGUUUUGAAAGGCGCUUUACGGUGCCGCUGAUGGAUGGACCCGCGGUGCAUUAGCUAGUUGGUGAGGUAACGGCUCACCAAGGCCACGAUGCAUAGCCGACCUGAGAGGGUGAUCGGCCACAUUGGGACUGAGACACGGCCCAAACUCCUACGGGAGGCAGCAGUAGGGAAUCUUCGGCAAUGGACGAAAGUCUGACCGAGCAACGCCGCGUGAGUGAAGAAGGUUUUCGGAUCGUAAAACUCUGUUGUUAGAGAAGAACAAGGGUGAGAGUAACUGUUCACCCCUUGACGGUAUCUAACCAGAAAGCCACGGCUAACUACGUGCCAGCAGCCGCGGUAAUACGUAGGUGGCAAGCGUUGUCCGGAUUUAUUGGGCGUAAAGCGAGCGCAGGCGGUUUCUUAAGUCUGAUGUGAAAGCCCCCGGCUCAACCGGGGAGGGUCAUUGGAAACUGGGAGACUUGAGUGCAGAAGAGGAGAGUGGAAUUCCAUGUGUAGCGGUGAAAUGCGUAGAUAUAUGGAGGAACACCAGUGGCGAAGGCGGCUCUCUGGUCUGUAACUGACGCUGAGGCUCGAAAGCGUGGGGAGCAAACAGGAUUAGAUACCCUGGUAGUCCACGCCGUAAACGAUGAGUGCUAAGUGUUGGAGGGUUUCCGCCCUUCAGUGCUGCAGCUAACGCAUUAAGCACUCCGCCUGGGGAGUACGACCGCAAGGUUGAAACUCAAAGGAAUUGACGGGGGCCCGCACAAGCGGUGGAGCAUGUGGUUUAAUUCGAAGCAACGCGAAGAACCUUACCAGGUCUUGACAUCCUUUGACCACUCUAGAGAUAGAGCUUCCCCUUCGGGGGCAAAGUGACAGGUGGUGCAUGGUUGUCGUCAGCUCGUGUCGUGAGAUGUUGGGUUAAGUCCCGCAACGAGCGCAACCCUUAUUGUUAGUUGCCAUCAUUUAGUUGGGCACUCUAGCAAGACUGCCGGUGACAAACCGGAGGAAGGUGGGGAUGACGUCAAAUCAUCAUGCCCCUUAUGACCUGGGCUACACACGUGCUACAAUGGGAAGUACAACGAGUCGCGAAGUCGCGAGGCUAAGCUAAUCUCUUAAAGCUUCUCUCAGUUCGGAUUGUAGGCUGCAACUCGCCUACAUGAAGCCGGAAUCGCUAGUAAUCGCGGAUCAGCACGCCGCGGUGAAUACGUUCCCGGGCCUUGUACACACCGCCCGUCACACCACGAGAGUUUGUAACACCCGAAGUCGGUGAGGUAACCUUUUUGGAGCCAGCCGCCUAAGGUGGGAUAGAUGAUUGGGGUGAAGUCGUAACAAGGUAACC